UGGGGAAAGCUAGUAAUUUGUAUGAUGAUACUCAUUUGUUUUAUAUCUAGAUAAUUUUAGAAUCAAUUUAGGCAUUUGUCACUUUGGCAUUCAAAAUUAGUUUUUGGAUUUGCCAACCAAACAUAUAGCAAACCACUUCUACAGUUUCAGAACAGCUUCUAGAUCUUAACAACCAAACAAUUUUUUAGUAAAAAACUGUUUUAUCUUGAAACAACUUUUGCUCUC
rnacentral:lncRNA from 1 species